UACGAAGGGGGCUAGCGUUGCUCGGAAUUACUGGGCGUAAAGGGCGCGUAGGCGGAUAUUUAAGUUGGGGGUGAAAUCCCGGGGCUCAACCUCGGAACUGCCUUUGAUACUGCAAAUCUCGAGUCCGGAAGAGGUGAGUGGAAUUCCUAGUGUAGAGGUGAAAUUCGUAGAUAUUAGGAAGAACACCAGUGGCGAAGGCGGCUCACUGGUCCGGUACUGACGCUGAGGUGCGAAAGCGUGGGGAGCAAACAGG
rnacentral:rRNA from 1 species